rnacentral:lncRNA from 1 species
ACAACUAAGCCUUUGAAUUUCUAGAAGAUCCUUAUCUGAAAACUGGAAUUGCAUCUCCAAUGCAUUGUAUCAUGUUCAACAAAGAAAAAUUAGAUUGAGUCAAUGGCAAGUAGAUGAAUUCAAUAAAAUGAUAAAUUAAUCAUAAAAAGAAUGAUUAAAAUGUAAUACUCCCCUGAUUGAAGAUCAAACUCUCUUUAGUGCAACGUCGAAAACGUGUUGACAACGUAUUGACAACGUAUUGUAAGCCUAAUUUACUGAAUCAUAUAAAGAACAUAGGGAGUGGGGGUGCAGCAACAUUAGAGAGAAAGAGAGAAAUGUGUAAUUGUGAGGUGUGUGUUGUAUCUCCCCAUUGUGCCUUUAUUUAUAGUAGUAGGGAAGGUAAAUUCCUUAUCCCAAUAGGAUUACAAUUCUAAUGUGAUAAUAUCUAGUCUAAAGAUAUGGUAGAGUCCCACAAGGAUAUCUCAUAUAUGAUAGGAUUUACAUGAUCACAUUCCUAAUCUAAUAGGACUGCAACAUGUUACAAUAUAUUAAUAAUUAUGUGGGUACAUUAUUUAUUUGCUUGAACUAUGUGAAGAACAAUAUUACCCUAUUAUUGAUUUUUAAGUAAUUGUUAUAUUGUAAAAAUAUUACUCUAAUCUAAUAGGAUUGCAACAUAUUACAAUAUAUUAAUAAUUAUGUGGGUACAUUAUUUUUUUGCUUGAUACAUUAUGUUUUUGCUUAAACUAUGUGAAGAACAAUAUUACUCUAUUAUUGAUUUUUAAGUAAUUGUUAUAUUGUAAAAAUAUUAUUUAAAUUUGUUUAAAUUUCAUAAUUUUAUGGGAUAUUGAAUGCAUAAGUGGAGUUAAAUCCCUUAAAUAAAUGAUGUUAGGGACUUCGAUCAAACUAUUUAAACACACAAGAUUUUAUUAUAACAAUUAAGUUGAUUAGGAACCAAAAUCAAAGGGAUCCCCUUGACAAAUCUACAUGUACCAAUCGUAUUACCAAAGUACAUGAACCUCACAAAAUAUUGAUGAUUCUGGAUCAUGAAACGCACACGUUGAUCGAUGACUCUAGAUUGGGGUUAUCGCAUUUACAUUUGCAUAUAUUUAUUUAAAAUUAUUGUCAAAGGUGAUAUAGCGUUGGUAUUGUAUUUGACUGUCACGUUUGUCGUUCUGCUAAUUGCAUGCACAUUAAUUAGCCAAACAAGUUUAAUUCCUUUCAAUUUGAGGAACCUCCAGUUUUCUUCAAAAAGAAAUAUAGUCAAUGUUUCUAGUUAUUUCAAACUCAUUCUCAAUUGUUUUACAAUUUUAUUUAAACCAACCUAAUCUUAUGAUCAUAUUCCAACUUUCUUUUUAAUUGAAAAUACAAAUUAGUAUGCAUAUAACUUUACUGUUAUUAAGUUACUAAUUGAUUUAUGUAGGGAAGCUCAAGUUAGGUUGAAAUACUAUGCCUUUUAUUUGCAGAUGGGAACAGAAUAUUAUUUCAUUUUCUGCAUAUGAAUAGAGAUUCGAGACCAAAUGCCGGUGUCGUUGUUCAAAGGUAACAAGGAUCGGCCAACAAACAAAUUUCAACUAAUUUUGAUUUUAGGGCUAGUGGUACACCCUCUGAAUAGAAAUAAGAUUACACUAAGGGCUGAUUUGGAGUUGUCUAAAUUUUUUAAAAAGCAGCUUUUUGAAAAGUAGGAGAAUAAUUGUAUUUGAUAAAUAAAAGAAAAAGUGCUUAUUUUCAAAAUCAUGGGUAAAAAACCUCAUAAAACAGAAGUAGGUAAAACCAUGCUUAUAAAAAGAGUGUUUUUUUCGCCACUUAGUACUACGGUUUAGUGAUUUUUCUCUUCACUUGUAAGUGAGAAGUCUUAAGUUGGAUUCUUGCCAAAGUCAAAUUUGAACCACCUUAUUGUUAACUCAUUGUGGGCUAUGCUCAUCCUCAUUCCUUUAGUGUAAAUAAUAUCGGUUUUUUUAAGUGUUUUUUUGGGAGCAGGUGGAGUGAAUAGUGCGCAUUAAUGAAAUUUUCCAAAGACAAAAUCUCAACACCAAUCCACUUGCUCUCUCUCUCUCUGUCUCUAUAUGUGAAAAGCCCUAAGAGAAACCCUUGCUCAGCGGUCGGCCUAGCCUUUAGCUAUAGGGUCAAUGGCAGCCCUGAAAAUCUCUCCUGCUUCCUUCUACUUUUCUUUCUUCUCUUCCAUUCCCUGUCUUUUUUUUUAUGCUUUUUUUUUCUGAGCUUUGUCUCAUCUAUCUGAGCUUUGGUCUCACUUUUGUUCCCUCUCCUCAAUCAUCGGUCGCUCACCG